rnacentral:lncRNA from 1 species
GUGGGGCAGAGGGCAGCCUGAGCAUCUGCAAACAGAGUGGCUCACAGAGAGGACACCUGCCCUGAGGACACCUGCAGGAGAUCCCUACAGAGGAAGGGCUAGACCAGGCUCCAUCCAGCAAACAGGCAGGACAGCGAUGUCUUCCUGCAUGACAGAAGGGGAAACUGAGGCCCAGAGUGAUGCAGCCCGGGACCUCCCAGGACAAGGUCCAAGCUCUUACCUCAGAUACAAACUCAUCUGGAAGCAUUAAAACAAUGGAAGCAGGUGAGAGCAGAGAGAUCCCGAGCGCAGGUGAGGUGGGGUCCCUGAGGCGGGCUCAAAAGCUGCUUCCCAAGGCAGGGGGGCCCCUAUGUGCCCUCUGAGAGCACAGCCUGCAGACAGAGUCCAGACGUCUCAGGCAGGCCUUUGAGGCCUUCGUGUCAAAGCCCAGUUCUACCACAUCCUAGGGUUAUACUUUCGGCCUGGUGGGAGUCGCUGGUCCCCAGUUGACAGUGUCAUUGGGAAAGUCCAGUGGUAGACCCCGGCACAGCAGGCGCUCAGCAGUGCAGCAGUAUCAUUGCUUAGCCCCACCUCCCUUUCCAGACUCUGCACCCCUCCUCAGGCUCAGAGCAAGGGCCUGCCCCUGCCCCUCCACCGCCCCCUCCUCACUUACCCCUGCGACUCUGCCCAAGCAAGACCUCCCCCUGGAAUUCAUUCAUUUAUCAACUCAUUAUGCAGCCAGCCAGCCAUCGUUUCUUUUUUAUCCACUUUUUCUGAGGGCCUGCUGUGCGCCAGCUGCUGGAGACAUGAAGACAUCGAAGACCCCAGGCCUUGACCUCCAAGAGCCCCCAGUUUGGUGGAAGAAACAAACAAGGAGACUGCAAAACACACCCUGUGAUGGGGAGGGUUGAGGUGGCCAGUGGGAGAGGCGAGCUGGCAGGGCUCAGUGGUGAGGUGAAGGUGUGGGAGCAGGGACACAGCAUGAAGGAGUAGAUGGCCAGGUUGAGCUUUGCAGGCUCCAGGGGGAGGAUAAAGAGCUGACACCUGGAACGUGCUUGGAACAGCAGGUGCUCGGUCAGUGCAGCCACGACCAUCCCGUCCUGCAUCCCCACCAUGAACUUGGACCUUCUGGAAGGACCUUGCUUAUCCCAGCAUCCACACAUCCUUGACCAGACCUGGUCAACAUUUGCUUACCUCUGCCAGCCUCCUCUCACCCAUUCCUGCAUGUGCCGCACCAAUCUGUGUGGAGCGCCCACUCCAGCCAGGCCCUGCUCUAUCAGCAAACUCAGCAGGCAGAACCCCUGCCCCAUGGCGCUGCUUCAGCGUGGUGAGACAGGAACCGCCUGGCUGCUGGGAUGAGAAGAGACUGGAGAGAGACCACGAUGGAAGCCAGGAGGCCAACGAGGAGUUGGGGUAGUCCUCCAGGGAGACAUGAUGUGGCUUCAGCCCCAGUGGUGAUGGCGGGGUAGAGCCAGCAGGGUUCUGAACUGAGUGGAUGUGAAAUGAGGGAAAGAGGGAUGCUGCGGUCGGCAGAAUCGUGCCUCCCGCAAAGAUGCCCCAUCCUAACCCGUCACCCUUGACAGUGAGACCUCCACCACAAAGGGGACUUUGCAGGCAUGAAGGUUAAGGACCCUGAGAGGAGGAGAUGGCCCUGGACUGUCUGGCGGGCCCAGCAUCAUCACAAGGGUGCUUAUAAGUGGAGGAGGAGGCAGGGGGAGCCGAGCAGAUGUGAGGAUAGAAGCAGAGGUCGGAGGGACGUGCUGUUGGCUUGAGAUGGAGGAGGACCUAUGAGCCAAGGAGCAUGGGCGGCCUCUGGAAGCCAGAAAGGGCAAGGCCUCUUCCCGGAGCCUCCAGCAGAACCCAGCCCCGCUGCCACCUCGACUGCAGAACGGUGACACCGUGUCCGAUUCCCGACCUCCAGAACCGUGAGAUAACACGUGUGCUGUUUUAAGCCACUGCAAUUGUGGUAUUUGUCACAGCAGCCAUAGGAAACUGUACGGGGGUUAAAGAGGACCUGCUGACCUCUGAGCUCACACUGAAGCCUCCUGGAAUGCUGUGGGUUGUGAGCUGGGAUGAGAACGCAGCAUGGAGAUGAAAGACGCAUCCACCCAGGAAGGCCCACUGGCAUCGCAAUCUCAGGGAAGAUUCCCAGGCUGAAAAAAGAGAAAGUGGCUGGGGUGGCACUGAAUGCCCCACGUCAAAGAAAUGGCACCCAAGCCGUCCGUCAGUCCCUCACCUGCCACACAGACAGCACCUUGGACCCAGCAAGAUGUCACUCACCACAUUGAUGCUGUCCACAGGCAUCGCCUUGCUUUUGCAGCUCUGUGUGAGAUUUGUCAGCUUGGUUUGGGUCUGGGGCUGUAUUAGAGCUGUCAGCCUAGGAGCCUACCCUAGUUUUGUGUCUGCACUAUUUCCAAAGCACUGGAAUAAAAGGCAUUUUAACCAA